AAACGGCUGCCAUAGUUCCCAUCUUCUGAACUCAGAAGAAAGUAGAACUCGAUGACUUCAAUGGCGAACCAAUCAUGGACCGAGAUUAUAAAAUUUCAAUAUAAAAAUCAAGAAGAAAGAAGUUGGACUAUCCUCUCCGGUGGUGUUAAAUGUUGUCAUCAGUUGGAGGACAUGGUCUGGGUAGGAGGCGGAGUUGUGUUUGGCAGAGAGAAUGCUCACUGAGCAUGCAGAUGUCAUAACUUUUGAUGGCAAGGAAGAAGAUUUGAAAGAAAUACUACACAUCUAGAGUUUGCGGAUAUUCCUUCGGGAGAGUUCAUCAAGCACACCCUAAUGCGUUGUACGCUAGACAAGCUAGCAAGAAUAUGUAAUACUCUAUUUUGUGCUUUUAUUUUUGUACAAUAAAUUUCGUUGGGUAAUAAAGUUUUUUCAUCAAAAACGGAAA